CAAGUCUGUUGGAAUACAGCGGCAUAGUGGUGAGACCCCCGUAUAUGGUGCGGACGCCCAGCGCUUUGUGAUACAUUUUCGAAGAGUCGAGUUGUUUGGGAAUGCAGCUCAAAUUGGGUGGUAAAUUCCAUCUAAAGCUAAAUAUUGGCGAGAGACCGAUAGCGAACAAGUACCGUGAGGGAAAGAUGAAAAGCACUUUGGAAAGAGAGUUAACAGUACGUGAAAUUGUUGGAAGGGAAACGCUUGAAGUCAGACUUGCUUGCCGAGCAAUCGGUUUGCAGGCCAGCAUCAGUUUUCCGGGAUGGAUAAUGGUAGAGAGAAGGUAGCAGUUUCGGCUGUGUUAUAGCUCUCUGCUGGAUACAUCUUGGGGGACUGAGGAACGCAGUGUGCCUUUUGGCGGGGGUUUCGACCUCUUCACACUUAGGAUGCUGGUGGAAUGGCUUUAAACGACCCGUCUUGAAACACGGA
rnacentral:rRNA from 1 species